rnacentral:rRNA from 1 species
GUGGGGAAUCUUGCGCAAUGGACGAAAGUCUGACGCAGCGACGCCGCGUGGGUGACGAAGGCCUUCGGGUUGUAAAGCCCUGUGGGGGGAGACGAACCGGCACGUAGCUAACAUCUACGGGUCUUGACGGUAUCCCUUUAGCAAGCAUCGGCUAACUCUGUGCCAGCAGCCGCGGUAAGACAGAGGAUGCAAACGUUGCUCGGAGUUACUGGGCGUAAAGCGCGCGCAGGCGGUCUCGUAAGUCGGGUGUGAAAUCCCGGGGCUCAACCCUGGAAGUGCACUCGAUACUGCAAGACUGGAGUACUGGAGGGGAGAGCGGAAUUCCCGGUGUAGAGGUGAAAUUCGUAGAUAUCGGGAGGAACACCAGUGGCGAAGGCGGCUCUCUGGACAGAUACUGACGCUGAGGCGCGAAAGCGUGGGAAGCAAACAGGAUUAGAAACCCCUGUAGUCC